rnacentral:rRNA from 1 species
CGUAACAAGGUUUCCGUAGGUGAACCUGCGGAAGGAUCAUUAUCUAUUCCAUGAGGUGCGGUCGCGGCCCUCGGCGGGAGCAACAGCUACCGUCGGGCGGUAGAGGUAACACUUUCACGCGCCGCAUGUCUGAAUCCUUUUUUUACGAGCACCUUUCGUUCUCCUUCGGCGGGGCAACCUGCCGUUGGAACCUAUCAAAACCUUUUUUUUGCAUCUAGCAUUACCUGUUCUGAUACAAACAAUCGUUACAACUUUCAACAAUGGAUCUCUUGGCUCUGGCAUCGAUGAAGAACGCAGCGAAAUGCGAUAAGUAGUGUGAAUUGCAGAAUUCAGUGAAUCAUCGAAUCUUUGAACGCACAUUGCGCCCCUUGGUAUUCCAUGGGGCAUGCCUGUUCGAGCGUCAUCUACACCCUCAAGCUCUGCUUGGUGUUGGGCGUCUGUCCCGCCUCUGCGCGCGGACUCGCCCCAAAUUCAUUGGCAGCGGUCCUUGCCUCCUCUCGCGCAGCACAUUGCGCUUCUCGAGGUGCGCGGCCCGCGUCCACGAAGCAACAUUACCGUCUUUGACCUCGGAUCAGGUAGGGAUACCCGCUGAACUUAA